rnacentral:rRNA from 1 species
CGCACGCGCGCUACACUGAAGGAACCAGCGUGUGCUCUCCCCGUCCGGCAGGACCGGGUAACCCGCUGAACCUCCUUCGUGAUAGGGACAGGGGCUUGUAACUGUUCCCCUCGAACGAGGAAUGCCUAGUAAGCGCGAGUCAUCAGCUUGCGUUGAUUACGUCCCUGGCCUUUGUGCACACCGCCCGUCGCUACUUGCGAUUGAACGAUUUAGUGAGGUCAUCGGACUGGCGCCCGGAACGGUGCUCCCGCGCCGGGCCGGCGUGCCGGAAAGACGACCGAACUUGAUCGUUUAGAGGAAGUAAAAGUCGUAACAAGGUUUUC